rnacentral:rRNA from 1 species
AUGCCGCUCAUCGUCCGCGAGGAGGACCAGGCGGCCGAGGACGCCUACCAGGCGGCCCUUGCGGCCGUCUACCGGGAGAGCGAGGAGGACGAGCAGCGCAGGGCGGAGGUGGCGGAGGAAGAGGAGGCUCGCUACGAGGCGGCAAUGGCGCAUGCACUUGCCCUCUCCGCGGCGGGCGACUGCGUGGUGCUGCCGGUGGCCCCGCCGUCCCCUCCCCGAUGCCUCAUCAAGCCGGAGAAGCAGCCGGAACCCGAGCCGAAGCCGUCCCCCAUCGAGCGCUACUCCUGGACGGGAGUAGUGCGCGAGUGGGUACGCGCGCCGCCGGUCUGGAUGGGGGCGACGCCGGUGCAGGAGGCGGCGUACCUCGAGCACUGGCGCCAGAUUCGGGUGGCCAAGAAGCGCUGCGACGUCGAGUACCUCGAGAUGCUCGAGCGCGACCUCGAGGAGGAGCAGCGUGAGGCCGAGGAGGAGGCGCACCAGGCCGCGGCCGCACAGGCCCCCGCGCCGGCACAGCCUGCGCCCGACAUGGCUGCGCUCUGGAACACAUCGUUCUCCUAG